CUAGAAGUACCACUCAUUGCAAUAGUAUCAUAAAAAUGAAUCAUCUGCAAGCUGCCUGCGCUUACAGCUGUCUUGCUUAAGUUAUUGGAUGGCACGUUGCCUGCUCAUGUGGUGUUUAGACAUAGUAGAGGGAAUAGGUGUCAGAAAAGAUGAUUUUACUGGGGUAAUUUAAAUAGAACAACAACUGUUAGCUUGUUAGCAAUAAUUUCCCUUUUGGUGACUGAACAAGAAAGUGUUAUUCCCCCAUGAAGCUUUCCAGCCUGCUGGCACGUUCUCCCUGCUCCAGCAUCAGGAAGUUGCAGUGAGUCAGGCUCCAAAAUCGUUCAUGGCUGAGGGCUAUUCUUGCCAGGGAUACCAGCACAUCAAGGAGACAUUUUUCAUCUUACUCAAAGUGUAGUUCUUGCUUGGAUAUCAAAGACCAGGAAAGUACAGAAUAGGAGAUAUUUCCUAGCCAGUGGUGUGUCGUCAUUUCUUCCUUUGUCUCUUUCUGGAUCUAAUUCUCUUUUCAACUGGACUAAGUGUUGUGAAUUUUUUUUUAAACUUCUUGCAUCUUUUGUAAAAACCUCCUCAAAGAAGAUUUCUGAAAAAAAGCAAGCAAAGCCAUGGCCUCUCUUUUUCAGUACUCUGAAUUUUUAUGGAGGAGACACUGACUCCUUUCUCUCAGUUAUAGGCUUCCUGGUACACAAAAACCAAGGAUAUCCUGGGAAGAGUCCAGCAGAGGGCCACGAAGAUGAUAAAGGGCCUGGAGCAUCUCCCUUUGAGGAAAGGCUGAGCAAACUGGGCUGUUCAGCCUUGUGAUAAGAAGACUGAGAGGUGCCCCUUCCAUAAGAAGAUAUGAGCAAGAGGCUUGCAGG
ensembl:lncRNA